GACGAACGCUGGCGGCGUGGAUUAGGCAUGCAAGUCGAACGGUAUCAUCCUUUCGGGGGUGAGAGAGUGGCGAACUGGUGAGUAACACGUAGGUUAUCUACCCUCAAGACGGGGACAACCCAGGGAAACUUGGGCUAAUACCGGAUGUGAGCAACUUUUAGUUGUUUGAAAGGUGGCGUAAGCUGUCGCUUGGGGAUGAGCCUGCGUCCUAUUAGUUAGUUGGUGAGGUAACGGCUCACCUAGGCAAUGAUAGGUAGGCGGCCUUAACGGGUGGUCGCCCACACUGGGAUUGAGAUACGGCCCAGACUCCUACGGGAGGCAGCAGUCGAGAAUAGUCUACAAUGGUCGGAAGACUGAUAGUGCGACGCCGCGUGAACGAUGAAUCCCUUCGGGGUGUAAAGUUCUUUUAUAUGUGAGCAGUGCUUCUUAUAUUAACAGUAUGGGGAGAGAGAUAUUAGCAUAUGAAUAAGCAACGGCUAACUCCGUGCCAGCAGCCGACGGUAAACACG
rnacentral:rRNA from 1 species